UUGGACCUGAUAUCAGGCAAGAUUACCCGCUGAACUUAAGCAUAUUAAUAAGCGGAGGAAAAGAAACUAACAAGGAUUCCCCUAGUAACGGCGAGUGAAGCGGGAAGAGCUCAAGCUUAAAAUCUCCGUGCAAGUUUUGCGCGGCGAAUUGUAGUCUAUAGAGGCGUGAUCAGUGUGGGCGCUUGGGGCAAGUUCCUUGGAAGAGGACAGCAUGGAGGGUGAUACUCCCGUUCAUCCCUGAGCUGCUCGUGCGUACGAUCCGUUUUCUUUGAGUCGCGUUGUUUGGGAAUGCAGCGCAAAGUAGGUGGUAAAUUCCAUCUAAAGCUAAAUAUUGGUGCGAGACCGAUAGCGAACAAGUACCGUGAGGGAAAGAUGAAAAGAACUUUGAAAAGAGAGUUAAAGAGUACCUGAAACUGCUGAAAGGGAACCGAAUCGUUUCCAGUGUCUAUAAUCCGUGGUAUAUUUCAUUGGCGAGUGUGUGCGUGCGUGUGCUGUGGCAGCGGCCUUUUUGGCUGCGCUCGGCGUGUGUGCUGUGUGUGCUUGCUGGUGCCCUGUGCUGCGGUGGGACGUCAAGGUCAGUUCGUAUGCUGCGGGAAAUGGCCGCCGAGGAGGUAGGGCUUACGCUUGCGUUUGUCUGUUAUAUCUUGGUGGACGAGUAGUCGCGGUUGGGACUGAGGUGCCUACAACGUGUUUUUGAGUGGGCCUGUGUCUCUGUGUGCGCCGUGUGCGGAUAGCUUGCUAUGCGUGUGUGGUUGUGUGUGGAUUGAUGUGGGUUUUAACUUGUUGCCGUUCGGGACGUUGACGAAAUGGAGCGAUUUGACCCGUCUUGAAACACGGACCAAGGAGUCUAACAUGUGUGCAAGUGUUAGGGUGUGGAAACCCCAGCGCGAAAUGAAAGUGAAGGGCAGCGUAAGUUGUCUGAGGUAGGAAAUGCUGCGGGCUUCGGUCUGCGGUGUGGCACUAUCGACCGAUCAUGAACCUUCGUGGUGAAAGAUUUGAGUUUGAGCACAUAUGUUGGUACCCGAAAGAUGGUGAACUAUGCCUGAGUAGGGUGAAGCCAGGGGAAACUCUGGUGGAAGCUCGUAGCGAUUCUGACGUGCAAAUCGAUCGUCAAACUUGGGUAUAGGGGCGAAAGACUAAUC
rnacentral:rRNA from 1 species